rnacentral:rRNA from 1 species
UACAGAGGUCUCAAGCGUUGUUCGGAUUUAUUGGGCGUAAAGGGUGCGUAGGCGGCGCGGUAAGUCGGGUGUGAAAUCUCGGAGCUUAACUCCGAAACUGCAUUUGAUACUGCCGUGCUUGAGGACUGGAGAGGAGACUGGAAUUUACGGUGUAGCGGUGAAAUGCGUAGAUAUCGUAAGGAAGACCAGUGGCGAAGGCGGGUCUCUGGACAGUUCCUGACGCUGAGGCACGAAGGCCAGGGGAGCAAACGGG